CAAGGUCGUGUGGUUAGGAAGAGCCAGGAUUCAGACCAGGACGUCAGGCAGCACAGCUCAGAGUGUUAACCACAAAUGCCUACUUCUGCAGGCUCAUGGGAGGGUUUAUGGUAUGAUGAGAGGUUCUAGAAUGCAAUGUGUUCUCAUUUGAAAGGAGAACUAAGAAGCAUUUUCUGCAUCUGCUUAGCACUCAUCAUUGUUCAUUGCCUGCUCCCAGGUAAUAUGAUCCAUAUACAAUGCGAUGUAAAAAUCUGUAAUUGCAUAAUAUGCUUUUUCUUUUUACACAUUUCUUUUCUUUUUUUUGUUUUUUGUUUGUUUGUUUAGGGCUGCACCCACAGCAUGCAGAUGUUCUCAGAGUAAGGGUUGAAUCAGAGCUGCAGCCGCUGGCCUACACCACAGGCACAGCUACACCAGAUCUGAGCUGAGUCUGUGACCUACACUGCAGCUUAUAGCAAUGCCAGAUCCUUAACCCACUGAGCAAGGCCAGGGAUCGAACCCACGUCCUCGUGGAUACUAGUUGGGCUGGUUACCGCUGAGCCACAAUAAGAACUCCUGAUUUUCCUAAUUUUAAAAUGAGUAAUAGGAGUUCCCUGGUGGCUCAUCAGGUUAAGGAUCAUGUAUUUUCACUGCUGUGGCUCUGGUUACAGCUUUGGUGUGGGUUCAAUUCCUGGCCUUGGGAACUUCCACAUGCCUUGGGUGAGGCCCCCCCCCAAAAGAGAAUCAUAUUCUUUUUUUUUUUUUUUUUUUUUUUUUUUUUGUCUUUUCUAGGGCUGCACCCGUGGCAUAUGGAGGUUCCUAGGCUAGGGGUCUAAACGGAGAUGUAGCCGCCGGCCUACACCACAGCCACGGCAACACCAGAUCCUUAAUCCACUGAGUGAGGCCAGGGAUCAAACCCGCAACCUCAUGGUUCCUAGUCGGAUUCGUUAACCACUGAGCCACGACAGGAUCUCCAAGAAUCAUAUUCUUUAUAAACAUCCAAAUAUUAUAGAAAUAACAGCUAUAGAGUGACUGUCCCAUGCAAUCCUAAUUGCCCCCUAAAUCAUUGUCCAUUAUUGGGUGGAAAUUCCUCCAGCUCUUCUCUUUUAUGUAUGCUGACAUAUUAUCAUCAUGGAUGUCGAUAGUAAUCUUUUUUCCCCGUAGGCAAUCAUAGUUUUUCAUUUAAUGUAUUUCGGACAUCUUUCCAUGUCAGAAAAUACAGUUUCAUUUUAUUUCCUUUAAGAGUUGUGUAGGGCUCAUGUUCACGUUCAGCAUUCCCCAGGGUGGGUUCAGGUUCUUUUCCAAUCAGCAGAGCCACAGGUGUGACGUGACCUAAAUUCUUACCUCAAUGCCCCGCUUGUUCCUUUUGGGUCUUGGACCUGACUCAAGGAGAAGCAAGCUCAGGAGGGACUCAGCUUUUGGUUUCUGUGACCAUAAGAGACCCUCGCAUUUCUCUCGUCCUCACCAUGAACCAGGUACAGUUCCCAGCCCCAUUUUCUGGGUGAGGCGACAGAGACCUAGAGAGGUGACGUUAACUUGCUUGCUCAAGUCCAUAUGGUUAGAAAUUAGAAAGGUGGAAUUCAAACCCUGGCUCCAUGAUUCCAAAGCCUGUGUAUUUAGCACCACACUUUCUCCUUAUCUCUUUCGAGAGUCUUUUUACCUAAAGAUGAGGUGGUCUCCGCAGCGUGUCACGUUGGGGUCGAUUGUGGAGGAAGAGUUAGUGCGUAAAGAGGGGCUCUGCCCCUUCCCCUUCUGGAGCACAUCACAAACACCAGCAUGUAAAGGAGGACUUGAGUUCCCUGUGGC
rnacentral:lncRNA from 1 species